rnacentral:pre_miRNA from 14 species
UUCUUUGGUACUGAAAGACCCCUGGAGCAGGGAGACGCUCACUCAAGUCUCGGGAUGAUGCGACCCCCCAAGAACUCACGUGAGACU